rnacentral:rRNA from 1 species
AAUUAAUCCCACCAACACCAAAGAACCCUUAAACAAUACUGAACAAUUCUAUAUUAUUAUAGAAGAUUUUAUGUUAAAACUAGUAACAAGAAGAAGAACUUCUCCUUUAAUGCAAAUCUAAAUCAGAUAGGACAUCCCACUGAUAAUUAACGCCUAUGAACAAAAAAUAGAAACCAAACAAGAAAAACCUACUAAACCAUGCGUUAACCUAACACUAGAGCAUUUCAGGAAAGAUUAAAAGAAAAAGAAGGAACUCGGCAAACAUUAACCCCGCCUGUUUACCAAAAACAUCGCCUCUUGAAUAAAUAUAAGAGGUCCAGCCUGCCCAGUGACCAUGUUCAACGGCCGCGGUAUCCUAACCGUGCGAAGGUAGCGUAAUCACUUGUUCUUUAAAUAAGGACUAGUAUGAACGGCACCACGAAGGUUAUACUGUCUCCUAUUUCUAAUCAGUGAAACUAAUCUCCCCGUGAAGAAGCGAGGAUAAAAAUAUAAGACGAGAAGACCCUAUGGAGCUUCAAACUACAAGGCACCUGCUAAAACACCACUAAAUUUCAGAAAACACCUACACCCAAGCAAGAUGACCUUUAGUUUUAGGUUGGGGUGACCGCGGAGAAAAAAACAACCUCCACAUUGAAAGGAAUCCCACUCCUUAGCCAAGAGCAACGCCUCUACGCACCAACAAAAAGACAUUAAUUGACCCAAUAUUUUGAUCAACGAACCAAGUUACCCUAGGGAUAACAGCGCAAUCCACUUCAAGAGCCCCUAUCGACAAGUGGGUUUACGACCUCGAUGUUGGAUCAGGGUGUCCCGGUGGUGCAGCCGCUACCAAAGGUUCGUUUGUU